rnacentral:rRNA from 1 species
GACGAACGCUGGCGGCGUGCUUAACACAUGCAAGUCGAACGGAAAGGCCCUGCUUUUGUGGGGUGCUCGAGUGGCGAACGGGUGAGUAACACGUGAGUAACCUGCCCUUGACUUUGGGAUAACUUCAGGAAACUGGGGCUAAUACCGGAUAGGAGCUCCUGCUGCAUGGUGGGGGUUGGAAAGUUUCGGCGGUUGGGGAUGGACUCGCGGCUUAUCAGCUUGUUGGUGGGGUAGUGGCUUACCAAGGCUUUGACGGGUAGCCGGCCUGAGAGGGUGACCGGCGACAUUGGGACUACGAUACGGCCCAGACUCCUACGGGAGGCAGCAGUGGGGAAUAUUGCACAAUGGGCGGAAGCCUGAUGCAGCAACGCCGCGUGCGGGAUGAAGGCCUUCGGGUUGUAAACCGCUUUCGCCUGUGACGAAGCGUGAGUGACGGUAAUGGGUAAAGAAGCACCGGCUAACUGCGUG